rnacentral:lncRNA from 1 species
CCCAGCUGGAAGCAUGAGAAGAUUUUUCUCUGAUAUUCACUGUGAGGACCUGGUAGAACUCCUGGAGAUUUUGUUAUGAAGAUGAUGCUGGCCUCAAAGAAUGGAAAGGGAAGACUGGUACCAGCCACUGCAAAAACGUGCUUAAGUACACAGACCAGUGACACUAUAAAGCAACCGCACAAACAAGUCUGAAUAAUAACCAGCUACCAUCAUGACAACAGAAUAAAACCCACACAUAUCAAUACUAACCUUGAAUAUAAAUGUGCCAAAUGCCCCAAUUAAAAGUCACAGAGUGACAAGGUGGAUAAAGGGCCAAGACCCAGUGAUAUGCUGUUUUCAAGAGACCCACUUCACAUGCAAUGACACCCAAAAUAAAGGGAUAGAAAGAAAUCUACCAAGCAAAUAAAAAACAGAAGAAAACGGGGUUGCAAUCCUAAUUUCAGACAAAAUAGACUUUAGAUUAACAAAGAUGAGAAAAAAACAAGGGCAUUACAUAAUGGUAAAGGGUUCAAUUCAACACGAAGAUCUAACUAUCCUAAAUAUAUAUGCACCCAACACAGGAACAUCCAGAUUCAUAAAAUAAGCUUUUAGAGACCUGCAAAAAGACUUAGACUCCCAUGCAAUAAUAGUGGGAAACUUCAACACUCCACUGACAGUGUUAGACAGAUUAGCAAGGUAGAAAAUUAACAAAGAUAUUCAGGAACUGAACUCAGCACUGAAUCACAUGAACCCAAUAGACAUCUACAGAACUUUCCACCCAACACCAAUGGAAUAUACAUUUUUCUCAUUGCCACAAGGCACAUACUCUAAAAUGGACCACACAAUUGAACAUAAAACAAUCCUCAGCAAAUGCAAAAGAACUGAAAUAAUACCAACCACUCUUUCAGACCACAGCACACAGCACAGUAAAAUUAGAAAUCAAGACUAAGAAAAUCACUCCAACCAUACAAUUACAUGGAAAUUAAAUAACCUGCUCCUGAGUGACUUUUGGAUAAAUAAUGAAAUUAAGGCAGAAAUCAAGAAGUUCUUUGAAAUUAAUGAGAACAAGGAUAUAACAUACCAGAAUCUCUGGAACACAGCUUAGGCAGUGUUAAGAGGGAAAUAUAUAGCACUAAACACCCACAUCAAAAGGUUAGAAAGACCUCAAUUUAACCACCUAACAUCACAACUAAAAGAACUAGAGAAACCAAGAGCGAACCAACCCCAAAGCUAGCAGAAGACAAGGAAUAACCCAAAUCAUAGCUGAACUGAAGGAGACUGAGAAAUGAAAAACCAUUCAAAAGAUAGAUGCAUUCAGUUGUUUUUUUUUUCAAAAAAUUAAAAUAGAUAGAACUCUAACUAGAGUAAUAAAGAAGAAAAGAGAGAAAAUCCAAAUAAACACAACUAGAAAUGACAAACGAGAUAUAAUCAUUGACCCUACAGAAAUAUAAAUAACUGUCAGAGAAUAUUAUGAACACUUCCAUGCACACAAACUAGGAAAUCUAGAAGAAAUGGAUAAAUUCCUGGGUAUAUACACCAUCCCAAGACUGAACCAGAGAGAAACUGAAUCCCUGAAUAGACCAAUAACAAGCUCUGAAAUUGAAUCAGUAAUAAAUAGCCAACCAACCAAUAAAAGCCCAGGACCAGAUGGAUUCACAGCCAAAUUCUACCAGAUGUACAAAUAAGGCCAUUUCAUAAAAUUAAAUUAAAUUCUUCUGUUCAAGAGCUGCAAAACUUUGUCUGUAGGACACUCUAGUUCCCCCCAAACUAUAGAUGUGAUAACUCAUGCGCAGAGUUGAUUGUUAAUGAUGAUAGGGGUCUUUAAUAAGGAAAGGGGAAGCCCUGCAACUAUUGACAAAUGCAGAAAACUUAUGACAAUAUCUAACUCUUGGAGACGUAGAUUCCAACAUGCAUCCCUUAAAGAAACACAUGGUAAGGGAACACAAGAGAGGAGCAGAUCUUUGACAAAAAGCUCAGAGGACUCCACCUUCUCUCUACCCCUACCAUACUUGAAGAAUUUUCCCACAGUAUGUGUCAUCUAAGAAUGGUCCUUACCAAAGAAAAUUAGAAGAGAAAUGGAAUAUAUGUAUGUGUGUAUCUGUAUUACAUGUGUAUACACAUAUAUAUGUAUAUUUGUGGUGUGUGUGUGUGUAUAUGUGUGUGUGUGUGUGUGUGUGUGUGUGUAUCAAGCCUGGGAUGGAGGUUGAAUUAACACUGAUAAUAUAAGCCAUUUCAAAAACUGUGAAGAUGUGUAUCCAGUUUUCCUAAGAAAGCAGGACCAGUCUACCUGUUUAGCCUCAUUAUGUUGUACAAUGAAUAGACAUUUAUCAAAUACCUCCAAGGUGCUGGUCACUGUUCUAAACACUGCAGACUCAAAAAAGAAGACAGACUAAAUCCUUGUCCUCAUUGAACUUAUAUUCUAGCAACAAAAACAGAUAAGCUACAAAUGAACAGAUAAAUAUCAUUUCGUAUCGUACCAAGUGGCAGUAAGACAAAAAGGCAGGGUAAGGACAUCAGAAUCAAAGGGAAAGGCAAUUGGCAUAGGGUGGCCAAGGAAGACCUCACUGGGGCAAACCCUGAUGAUUUGAGUCAGUCUUGUGAAUAUCUGAAGUGAGAGUAUUUCACAGAGAGAAGACAGCAAAUGUCAAGGGGAGAGUUUGGAACAAACAUACUAUGUUUGAGGGAGAAUGAGAAACCCAGUGACACUGGCUUACUGGCUAGGGCAUAGUGGUGGGAGAUGAAUUAAAAAGGUAGGGAAAGGCUAUGUUAUGGUUGGUCUUACAGGCCAUGAUAAGGAGUUUAGAUUUUAUUCUGAGUGUGAUACAAAUUUUUGAAUGGUUCAAAACAGAGACAUGACAUGAACUUAGGCCUUCUUCCUCACAUUUCACAGGCAACUUCCAAACUAAAAUAACAAUAGAAAGAAUGGCUUUCCAAAAACGUGAGUAUAAUUGGGCAUGAGAAAGGGAUUAUAAUCCAGGAUACACAUGCUAUAACAGAUCAUAGGCAUAUCUGGAGAGAUUGAGGCAAAGGGAACAUUUUAAAGGCAAAAUGUGAAAGGUUACACCAGUUGUUUUAAAACAGUUGUCUUUGGCUGCAAGGAUUAAUAACGAGGGUGGUGCCAGUACAAGGUUCAACAGGCAGUUGCCAGGCAGAUGUCCUCACAGAAGUGUUCUUUGUGCAAGGUUGUAGUUUUCAAAAAGUUCUUGUGAUAGUUCUUGUAAUCAGGCAAAUAUGUGUGAAGACUCUCUUUUCAUCACUUCCUGGCCCCAUUUAGUUUGGUUUUAACAUAAAUGGCUUCAUUUUGGUACUGACAACUCUCACAUUUUCCCCUUUUGAUCAAGAUCUUUCUCUGAACGCACUGCUGGUCAAUCAACCUGCAGUUAGGUUUUGAUUGUCCCUUGGUGCUGGGAUGGACCUGUCCCAGUUGGUUUGGUCCUAUGUUGGAGGAACGUGAUUGGUGACUAGAAACCAGUGUCAAAACCUUUUUAGCCAAGACAAGAAGGAGGAUUACAGAGUGUCUCACAGGCUAAUUCUGCCUGGAGUAUAUUGUUCAAUUUUUUCAGCUUCAUGGGUGUUGGUUAUCAUUUUGAAAUGUUGCACCAGCAUUAUCCUAUUAAAUGUUGUACUUCUGCAGAACUUAGACAGGCAAAGGGUGCAAAGUUUAAAAAGGAUCAUGCAGAGUAAAAAUAACAGCAGUAGGAUGACACAAAACCCCAGUUUGGAUAAUGAUGCUGAGCCAUAAUCUGGCCUGAAGGUAACACUUAAACAAAUCAAAAGAUCACAGUGGGGUAAUUGAAUCAGAAGAACCUGGAGGAAUUCAGAAUUCAGUCCAGAUUCUAAGUUAAUAAUAAAAACCCCAAAACAAUGAAGGAUUACAGUCUAAUAACAGGUAUACUAUAGUUUAUUUGAGACAUAAAUUAUCUCUACAGUUAUCCAAAUUUUACCAAAGAUAAUCAAAAUAAGACCAUUUGUUUGUACAAUAAGUUUAGUUUCAUUGAAGUUGGGCCUGAUUAUUUACAUAAAUGGAGCAAGAAUAGCAAUUGGCCACAUGGGAAUCUCAGAUUUUAAAACCUCUCAAAGUUAAGGGAUUAUAGAGAGACUGAGGGAAACUGGCUGCAAUUGGGUUUGGUUUGGGGGAGGUGAAAACAUUUGUCCCCGUGCCAUUUUUCAACAGGAAGAAAGGAAGAAGGAAACUAAGGAAGGAAGGAAAGGAGAAAGAGAAAAUAGGCCCCUUAUAUAAUCAGCAGGUCAUAUAAGGACCUGUCUCUAUGGCAUGCCUUGGUUUUGUUGAAUGUAGUAUUUCUUAAGAAUAAUGACAUGGAAUUUUCCUUGUCAUUUAAAGAUACAAGGCAGAGUAUUUUUCAAAGUCACCACCACUUACAUUUGAGAGUGCAGCACUUGGCCCAGUGGCUGGUCAGUCUACUGAAUUUAAGAGAAUGCUUUUCCUUUGUCCUCGUGAAAGUAACUACUCAAACAGCAAAGAAUUAAUAUUAAAUUACAUAAAAAUUUUAUUAAACUAAGGAUAAAAAUUGGACAUAUCAGUUAAAGUCUGCAGGGAUAAAGUAAUGUUAUAAUCAGAACUUCUUCCUUUUUUUUUUUUUUUUUUUGCUGUCACCUUUGAUUUUCAAAAAGCAAGAAGCAUCCCAGUGGCAACGAGCAUAGCCAGCAGCCAGAACUUGGUUUCUAAUAACAUUCUCAAACGAAAGGAACCAAGGCUUUGGAGAACUGGCUGAUUCUAGGACUGGGGCAAGAAAUAUACGAGAUGAAGCUAGAGCAUCUGGCAGCGUUAGAAAUCAAGGAACUUUCCUCCCUUCCCCACCAAAACCCCACAAUAAUAGGAUAUGUCAAAGAUGCACAGGAACCAACUGAAAGAGUUCCUAGUGGCCAAAACUGGGACAUUUUGAGCAAUAAAAUAAAUAAAACAAUAUUUGAUUGUAAUUCAAAGUAUAAAAUAAGUAUCUGUGAGUCCAUACGGGUAAAAAUAAAGUGAUGAAGUAAAUUAACAAAUGGGGGAGAAGAGACAAAUCUGUGCAGAAGAAUUCCAAAUAAUUUACACGGAUACUUCACCUUCAAGGAGGGAUAGCAUAGCUUCCCAUUCCUCAGGUGUAGGCUACAAAUAGUGACUUCCUUCCAGUAUGGAAAGUUCAGUAUGGAGAGGAAUGGGGUAAAAGAGCAAAUUUACUAUGGACAGAUCUGGUAAUCAAGGUCAAUAUCAAUAGUAGAAAAUCAUGCUGAUGGUAUGUGAUGUGAUAAAAAUGGCACUUUACCUCUGUGGUCUUCCUCUCCCAAAACAAGAAUCCCAGUCUUAUUAUGAGAAAAAUAUCAGACAAAUCCCAAUAAUGGAGAGGUCUACAAAAUAUCUGUUAAGUUCUCAAAACUGUCAAGGUCAUCAAAAAUAAGGAAAGUCUGACAAAUAGCCACAGCCAAGGGGCGUUUAAGAAGAUGUGAUUGCUACAGGCGAUGAUGUAUUCUUGAACAGGAGAGGAACAAGAGGUUAAAACUGGGGAAAUCUGAAUAAAGUAUGAACUUCAGUUAAUAAUAAUGUAUCAAUAUUGGACCAUUAAUUGUAACAAACCUACCAUACUAAUGUAAGAUGUUAAUAAUAAAAAGAAACUGAGUGUGGUGCAUGCAAAAGUCCUCUACUCUUUUUCAUUUUUGCAUACAUCUAAAACAGUUCUAAAAAUAAAGUCCAUUUUUAUAAAAGGCAGGAAAGGUGUUUGUUAAAUUGCAAAAUG